CCAUAUUAGGAGAAGUCUCAGUCGAAUAGCUUGCUGUCCAUUACAGACCUUAGUACGGUGAAACCGCGAAUGGCUCAUUAAAUCAGCUAUGGUUCCUUAGAUCGUACUAGCUACAUGGAUAACUGUAGUAAUUCUAGAUCGGGGCUUGCAAUUAUUCCCCGGGAACGAAGAGUUCCGAGUGGAUGCAAUUCAUAAGAUUGCGCUGAUUACGUCCCUGCCCUUUGUACACACCGCCCGUCACUACUACCGAUUGAAUGGUCGAGCUGAGGCAAUCGGAUUGGUACUGUUUUACCGGCUACUUCCCUUGACUGGUAUCGAGAAUAUGACCAAACUUGAUCCUUUGGACGAAGUAAAAGUCGUAACAAGGUUUCCGUAGGUGAACCUGGAAAGGAUCAGGACGAUCAGGUUCUCGAUACCUGUCACGCGACGUAACUGAUCGGACCCUCCCAUGCCUCAUCUGUCCGUGCGGCGGUAAUCACCCCGCCCGGUGGCAAGGGCGGGGACUAGUCUCCAGCUUAUGAGGGCAGUUACAAGGAGUUCUCCCUUAGGGGGAAAACUCGGCCCGCUUAAAAACCACCCCCCCUACCGAUGUCUAAGAGCAGUGGGAGACCCCACAG
rnacentral:rRNA from 1 species